GAUGAAUUGCCUGAAAAAAGGAUUACCUUGAUAGGGUAAAUAAUGUGAUAUAUUUACAUUCAUUU
rnacentral:tRNA from 1 species